GGUGGGCUGGUCAGUGAGUCUUUUGGUGGGUUUACUGCUGUGCCUGGCUAAUCUGUCCCUUCCUGGGUGCUGCUUGGGCCUGAGUGUUUCCAAGAUGAAAAUAACAAUGUUUUGGUUUGAUAUUUUUAUGG